rnacentral:lncRNA from 1 species
AGUCCUAUCAUCCUGUGGUCCCAGGGAAGGAGGUCAAAUGCUCCCUCCAUACGGAAGAAGAUAUAACGGGAUCAUACAGAAAGAGGAAAAAAGAGGAAGUUUUUCAUCUUCCAGAAGUGGAGCAAAGAGAUCAGAACUCAAAGGGAUGCAUGGAAAAUCCAGGAUUGGAAGGAGAAUCAUCUUGAGAGAGGGUGUCUAAACUCUGUUCCAGUGAAGAACAGAACUGCUAACUCUAAAAAGUUCCCCUCCUCUCCCAAGAGGAAGACGAUUUGUGGUCAUGCUUCAGGAAUUAUAGACGAGAGAGCACCAUCUAUUGCUGAUACAAGCUGAAGACGUUUGCCUGGCUUCCACCCUGCAGAACUGCUGUCUUCCGCAAUUCAGUUGGUCAUGGUUGAGCGCCAUAUUGGACAUUCCUCAGCCGCCUAUGGCUUUGUGUGGGGCAGUUGGAGAAGAUCUCUUUUGCAGACCUUUCCUAUUAGCCCUGAGCUAACAUCUGCCGCCAAUCCUGCUCUUUUUGCUGAGGAAGACUGGCCCUGAGCUAACAUCCGUGCCCAUCUUCCUCUACUUUAUAUGUGGGACGCCUGCCACAGCAUGGCUUUUGCCAAAUGGUGCCAUGUCCGCACCCAGGAUCCAAACCGGCGAACCCCGGGCCGCGGAGGAGCAGAACGUGCGCACCUAACCACUGCACCAUCGGGCCCGCCCCUGACGCUUUCUUUAAUAUCAAUAAUAUGUCAUACAAAACAAGUCGUCUAAAAGCUAGUAGACUGUAUCUGUGUUGAAAAAUUAAAAAGUGAAAAAAUAUCUGUCAAUCAUUUAGAAAAUUGGCCAGGGCAAUGUUACUCGUCUAGAGCUUUCAAAAUAUUAAUUUUCACUUCUCACCUGGAAAUGUAGGCAUCAGACAGCCUUCUCCUAAUUGUCUGGAGUCUUUCCUUGCAUGCAGCAAAUUCCAAUCAUGGUUUAAGCAGUUGCAACCUUGUUGCAUCAGUUGGAGCAAGACUGGGGAGAAGAAUUUGAAGGCGAAACAAACCACUGGGAUUUUUGUUUUCUUGGGAGAUGGG